GAGGGCUUGCUGUAGCUACUCUGAGCAGAGACUCAGAGAGAGGUUACCACCACAGACUAAAUGAUCCUCACUUGGAGUAGUGGUCACCUCACAAGCUUCUUGAGGACUAUCCAACUCUCUGAGGAUGACUGUACCCAAAGGGCGGCACAAUGGAGCACCUACCUAUACAAGUGACUCAGCGAAUUGUGGUGAAUGCUUAUACAAGAGCUAACAAGCUGUGGGUCAAGAACUAUCAGAGCCCAUCAUUACAGAUGAGAAUGAACACUCGUUGUCUUUGCAUACUAUCUGAGUCUGGGGUCUUCCUUCAGCGAUUUUCAGACCCUUGCAAACUCAACGAUGUUUUGAAUUGGUGAAUGAUGCUGUGGAUAUUGUGUGGUCUCUGUCCAGGACCACGGCACUACGCUCCAGCCUCUGGAUGUACUGGCUGCUAAGAUUCCCAGCUGGCUUUUCUCUAGGUCUCUCCACUAGAAGAAGGUUCCAAUCCCUCCCCAGGGAUUGCACCCAAGACUCGCCUGUGCAAGAAUGAAAAGAUCAAUCCCAAUUGAAGACGACUGAGUUCCAUCUGAGGGUUGCUCAGCUGAAGUGUGUC
ensembl:antisense Gm16126 predicted gene 16126